AGGGUGUGCUCUGAGCAAGUGGCCUGCAGAAUGGCUUCUCUGUUUACAACAUACCCAACAAGAAUCUAGGCUCUGACAAGGGGCACAAAACUCAUGCCCUCCUUCUCAGCAAAUGUCCUACACAU
ensembl:snoRNA